rnacentral:rRNA from 1 species
GACGAACGCUGGCGGCGUGCUUAACACAUGCAAGUCGUACGGUAAGGCCCUUUCGGGGGUACACGAGUGGCGAACGGGUGAGUAACACGUGAGUAACCUGCCCACAACUUUGGGAUAACGCUAGGAAACUGGUGCUAAUACUGGAUAUGUGCUCCUGCUGCAUGGUGGGGGUUGGAAAGCUCCGGCGGUUGUGGAUGGACUCGCGGCCUAUCAGCUUGUUGGUGGGGUAGUGGCCUACCAAGGCGGCGACGGGUAGCCGGCCUGAGAGGGUGACCGGCCAAAUUGGGACUGAGAUACGGCCCAGACUCCUACGGGGGGCAGCAGUGGGGAAUAUUGCACAAUGGGCGCAAGCCUGAUGCAGCAACGCCGCGUGCGGGAUGACGGCCUUCGGGUUGUAAACCGCUUUCAGCAGGGACGAAGCUUUUUGUGACGGUACCUGCAGAAGAAGCACCGGCUAACUACGUG